CCUACGGGUGGCAGCAGUGGGGAAUAUUGGACAAUGGGGGGAACCCUGAUCCAGCCAUGCCGCGUGUGUGAAGAAGGCCCUCGGGUUGUAAAGCACUUUCAGUGAGGAAGAACGCCUGGUGGUUAAUACCCAUCAGGAAAGACAUCACUCACAGAAGAAGCACCGGCUAACUCCGUGCCAGCAGCCGCGGUAAUACGGAGGGUGCGAGCGUUAAUCGGAAUUACUGGGCGUAAAGCGCGCGUAGGUGGCUUGAUAAGCCGGUUGUGAAAGCCCCGGGCUCAACCUGGGAACGGCAUCCGGAACUGUCAAGCUAGAGUGCAGGAGAGGAAGGUAGAAUUCCCGGUGUAGCGGUGAAAUGCGUAGAGAUCGGGAGGAAUACCAGUGGCGAAGGCGGCCUUCUGGACUGACACUGACACUGAGGUGCGAAAGCGUGGGUAGCAAACAGGAUUAGAUCCCCUGUAGUC
rnacentral:rRNA from 1 species